AUUGAACGCUGGCGGCAGGCUUAACACAUGCAAGUCGAGCGGGGGAAGGUAGCUUGCUACCGGACCUAGCGGCGGACGGGUGAGUAAUGCUUAGGAAUCUGCCUAUUAGUGGGGGACAACAUCUCGAAAGGGAUGCUAAUACCGCAUACGUCCUACGGGAGAAAGCAGGGGAUCUUCGGACCUUGCGCUAAUAGAUGAGCCUAAGUCAGAUUAGCUAGUUGGUGGGGGAAAGGCCUACCAAGGCGACGAUCUGUAGCGGGUCUGAGAGGAUGAUCCGCCACACUGGGACUGAGACACGGCCCAGACUCCUACGGGAGGCAGCAGUGGGGAAUAUUGGACAAUGGGGGGAACCCUGAUCCAGCCAUGCCGCGUGUGUGAAGAAGGCCUUAUGGUUGUAAAGCACUUUAAGCGAGGAGGAGGCUACUUUAGUUAAUACCUAGAGAUAGUGGACGUUACUCGCAGAAUAAGCACCGGCUAACUCUGUGCCAGCAGCCGCCGUAA
rnacentral:rRNA from 1 species